AAGAAGGAGAGGAAGAAGGAAAGAAAGAAAAGAAAGAAGGGAGAGAAAGAUGAAACCAAGAAUAGAGAGAGAGGGGAGAGAAGAGACCGAUGGAGGUGGCUGGAAAAGUGGCCACCGGCGAGCAAAACUUUGGUGAUCGGAGAGUGGAGGAAGAUCAAGCAUAUGGGAGGGAAAAAUGAUUCACAAAAGACGCUUUGCUGAUGAGGACCUUUCGAGUUCCCUUGUAAACACCUAAAACCAUGUGACUACACCAAUCACCUUGCUCCUAUCAUGGAUUUCAAUCCUUGCAAUGAUGCUGGUCUGGAACCUCAAACUUCAGGAAAACAGCAGCAUUGCUGAAGCAGAUGCUAAGUUUGAGGCAGCAUUUCAUCUGUCAUUUUUUCCAGAAUAUUUUGCACCUCAACACCAGCUAAGGGCUUUGCUUCAAUCCAAUGAGACUUAUUCAUCUCUUCUUGAAGCUCCUCCUUUGAUUCCAGUUUCUAUUGGACCUUAGCAUCAAGCUGAUGUUCCUGAAUGGAACCCAAGGGGUUCUAAGAGCUUCGUGGAUAAUCUGGAUGUGUCAGGCCAUCAAGUUGAACCUGCACCUUCGCCGGAUUUUAGCCUUGUUGUUGAUGAUGAUGAUGAGGAGAAGCUGAGGGGUACUUGUGUCAUUUCAAUGCCUGAUUAUGAAAGGUCCGCCAAUUAUUGCUCUGAAAGAUGUGGAACCAGAAAUGAUUGUAAAUUCAUUAAUAGGGGGUUCUGUUGAUUGUCUCAGACAACAUGUUAUGGAAGCCAGAGAAAAACUUUGGGAAAACCCUGGGGGAAAGAUAUUUGAGGAGUUAGGUUUCUGUGAAAUGGGAGAGAGGUCUCCAAGAGAUGGGCUGAAGAGGAAGAGCAAGCUUUCCAUGAAGUUGUCUUUUCUAACCCUGCAUUGAUGGGGAAGAAUUUCUGGGACCAUCUCUCAUUGGUUUUCCCCUCCGAACAAAGAGGGACCUUGUCAGCUAUUAUUACAAUGUCUUUAUACUACGGAAAUGGGCCAAUCAAAACAGGUUUGAGG